GACGAACGCUGGCGGCGUGCUUAACACAUGCAAGUCGAACGGAAAGGCCCUGCUUUUGUCGGGUGCUCGAGUGGCGAACGGGUGAGUAACACGUGAGUAACCUGCCCUUGACUUUGGGAUAACUUCAGGAAACUGGGGCUAAUACCGGAUAGGAGCUCCUGCUGCAUGGUGGGGGUUGGAAAGUUUCGGCGGUUGGGGAUGGACUCGCGGCUUAUCAGCUUGUUGGUGGGGUAGUGGCUUACCAAGGCUUUGACGGGUAGCCGGCCUGAGAGGGUGACCGGCCACAUUGGAACUGAGAUACGGCCCAGACUCCUACGGGAGGCAGCAGUGGGGAAUAUUGCACAAUGGGCGGAAGCCUGAUGCAGCAACGCCGCGUGCGGGAUGACGGCCUUCGGGUUGUAAACCGCUUUCGCCUGUGACGAAGCGUGAGUGACGGUAAUGGGUAAAGAAGCACCGGCUAACUACGUG
rnacentral:rRNA from 1 species